UACGUAGGGCGCAAGCGUUAUCCGGAAUUAUUGGGCGUAAAGAGCUCGUAGGCGGUUUGUCGCGUCUGCCGUGAAAGUCCGGGGCUCAACUCCGGAUCUGCGGUGGGUACGGGCAGACUAGAGUGAUGUAGGGGAGACUGGAAUUCCUGGUGUAGCGGUGAAAUGCGCAGAUAUCAGGAGGAACACCGGUGGCGAAGGCGGGUCUCUGGGCCGGUACUGACGCUGAGGAGCGAAAGCGUGGGGAGCGAACAGG
rnacentral:rRNA from 1 species